CAUAAAUAUCUAAGUGGCACAUUAAAUUGGUGUCUGGACUCUCCAGUCACUGAUAAUUUAGAUACAUCAAGUUCAUUUGGAGAGCCAGCGAGGCAGGCGUGCUAAGUGCCUGGAGACAGAUUGCUUUGAGGCUGAAAGUGACCUCCAGCACUUAAACGUUUUGGCAAUCUGAGAACAAGAGCCCCUCCUCUCUGCAGAGCCACUCCACAUUGAACCCUGGUCGCAGUGUGCUGCAUAUUAACGUCAAAGGCUUUGUGAUAUUGAAGAAGAGGGCCUGGCAGAUCCGGUGGGGCACGGCUGAACAGCGCGACGGAGUAGAAAGAACGUACACUUUGGGGCCAGCUGGAAUUGGAUUCUAGACCUGCCUCAGCUCCUUCCUUUGACUGACAACUAAUUGCAUGGCCUCAGGCAAGUUACUUAAUCUCUUCCCCCUUACUUUCUACUGCUGUAAAUUAUGAUCCUCAAAGGGUUGUUUGUAAGUAAUUUCCUUGUCAUUUGGUUCCAUUAUUUGACCAGAGCACGUAGAGCAUGUAAUGUCAACUUAUUUUUUUCUUUUUUGGAUAUGUUCUAAGUAGUCUAUGUAUAGAUUUUACCCAAGUCUUUAUUGCUAAGUUGGAAAAAAAAAAAGAAAGCCCAUUGAAUUAAAUAUGUUAAUACACAAAAUACUUGAUUUAACUUGGAAUCUUAAAGUGUCUUCAAGGUGAGCCUCUGUUGUCAUCUUACUUUAAAAACUUUUUAUGCAUGGUGGGGACAAAGGCAGAGACAUUUUAUACAAUGUUUAGGCAAUGUUUAUACAAUGUUUGUACAAGGCUACAAAUUGUGUUUCAAAAAUGUGUACUUUUCUUGAGGUGUGUUUUUUACAAUAUUGUAGGCAGAUCAGAAAGUUGGGGAAUAUCGGUAUUUUCAGUGUAAGACAAGUAAUAAACACAAUAGGGGCACAGGUCUGUGAAUCGUCAGGCUUACACACUUCCCAACACUCACCAUAGCACAUACCCUCCCCAGUGUCCAUAACCCCACCCCCCUUCUCCCUGCACCCCUCCUCCCAGCAACCCUCAGUUUGUUUUGUGAGAUUAAGAGUCACUUAUGGUUUGUUCCCCCCCAAUCCCAUCUUGUUUCAUUUUUUCCUUCCCUUUCCCCCAAACACCCCACUUUGCCUCUUAAAUUCAUCAUAUCAGGGAGAUCAUAUGAAAAUUGUCUUUCUCUGAUUGACUUAUUUCACUCAGCAUGAUACCCUCUAGUUCCAUCCACGUUGUUGCAAAAGGCAAGAUUUCAUUUCUUUUGAUGGCUGUAUAGUAUUCCAUUGUGUAUAUACCACAUCUUCUUGUUCCAUUCAUCUGUUGAUGGACAUCUAGGUUCUCUCCAUAGUUUGGCUCUUGUGGACAUUGCUGCUAUAAACAUUCAGGUACACAUGUCCCUUCGGAUCACUACAUUUGUACCUUUAGGGUAAAUACCCAGUACUAUGAUUGCUGGGUCAUAGGCUAGUUCUAUUUUCAACUUUCUGAGGAACCUCCAUGCUGUUUUCCAGAGCGGAUGCACAAGGUUGCAUUCCCACCAACAGCAUAGGAGGGUUACCCUUUCUCCACAUACUCGCCAGCAUCAGUCGUUUCCUGACUUGUUAAUUUUAGCCGUUGUGACUGGUGUGAGGUGGGAUCUCAUUGUGGUUUUGAUUUGUACUCCCUGAUGCCGAGUGAUGACAAACACAAUUUUUAUUCAUUUCCAUGCCAGCUCGAAUCAGAGAGGUCCACACUUUCUUGACAGCUCGACAAAGAAAAUGUGGUGAGCCACAGGGCACUGUGGGAAGUGCUUUGUAAGUGCUCCCCUAUUUCAUUUUCCCAAGAAACACCUGAGGUUCUUGUUCCCAUUUUGCAGAUCCAGGAGGCUCGGGUGUAAGGGAGCUGUGUCUCCACAUUCAUCGAGCUGAGAGUAAAGAAUCCCUCCAGCUCUGCUUUGUCCCAGAUCCUGUGCUCUCAAAUACAACAUCCUGUGCCUCCAAAAACCAAAUGCAAAGGGAGAAGUGGAGAUGUGUGGACACCAGAGGCUGGCGUUUACUGGAGGAAGCGUGAACUCCGAGAAACAGAAUGGGAAGGGUUCUGGAGGAAAGGCAGUGGCUCAGGAAAUGAAAAAUAUGAGACAGAAAUAAGCAAGGGAAAAGGGAUGGAGGGUGGAGCCAGAGGCAUGGGUUUAUAGAAAAUUCCCAACAUUUAUCAGACCAAAGGAAACAUCUUUAUUUUUAGUUGAACAGAAACUCCCACAACAUCUAUUCAAUUUGGUAUGUUUAAAUGGAGGAUUAUAAAUGAUACCCUCCUGCCCACCACGAGUUUACUUAUGGGAAAUGAACCUCCCUUUGACACGGAGACAAGGUUCUUAAUCAUCAGCUAAUUCUAGCAUGUGGACAUUUUUGGAACCAGAGAAUUAUAUUUCAAAGCUUCUGCUGAGUGCACGAGUGCUCUGUGGGCAUUUUGUCUCGGUAAGAAGCAGAGAUGUUGGCCCAUAGAUCUUGGAUAGAAAAGACCUUUGAGACUCUCAGGUGGAUUUUCUUGCCAGGCCAGGAGCAGAGAUGAAUACUAUUAUACAGAGCCUCUAAAGGGCAUACACUUCGGCAACAACUGCUUAGCGAUGCCUAAUACUUGAGACAGUAUCUGUCUGGCCAAGAUUUAGUAGCUCCUAAGCCACGCCAGAGUUCAGCUCCCACUGAGCCAUCUGCCCUCCCUCUGUGUAAAGCAGAUACUUUCUCCCCAGAAUGGUAAUAAAAGUGGCAAUUGGCAAGGAAAAUCGUGACCAUUUGUUUAGUUAGUGUAAUUCUUCCUUCUCAGAGUCUACGUAUUUCCAAAUGGUCUAGCUCCGUAUUUACAACUGGUUUUGGGUGAAGGUCAACCUCAGACAUGUGGAAUUCCCAUAAGGGCUUAAUUUAUAGUGUACAAAGAGGGAUAGGAGUUUUUCGAGAGGAGCCCGAACUUGAUACUUUGAUGUGCUAUUUCCCUAGUUUUCAUUAUCUGCGACCGCUCCAAUCUCUGCGUAUACUGCCUGGUUCACAUAUGGCUGUUCUGUGAUCUGAGGAGAUCUGAGGGCUGCCGAACUGGCCACCUCUGAAGGCCAAGAGACAUUCAGUCCCUGAGUUCACCGGGACGUCCUGUCUGACUGCCCCGCAGGGGGAAGAGGAGAAGGAAUGAGAUUCGGCAGCCAUAUUGUUUGGAGAAUCAGUAGCUGUGUGUCUUUGGGACAGUUACUUACUGUUUCUUUUCUCUGUUUUGUUACUGGAAAAGCAGAGUAAUGGGAUCUGUUUCCCUGGGUUUUGGGAGGAAUGAAUAAGGCAGAGGGCUAACAAUGUGUAGCUCCUGAUACACUAACUGAAUACCAGCUCGGUAGACAUUUUAGUUCUUUAGCAGAGUCGAGAAAGGACCAGUUUAUUCAGGGAGUGGUCCCAUCUUGUUUUGUCUAUAGUAAUUUGGUACCUAUGGAAGUUUUAUGUAGAGGAAGAACAGAACGGGCUGGGAAAAAAUAUGGUGUGAGGAUAUGAAAGUUGGAAAUCGUGAAGUACCGAUUUGUGAAUUAAGUCACUCUACCUGAAUUCAAAUAUGUAUUUGUUUUCCCAUUCCCUGUUGCCCCAGUGAUCCCAAAUCUCUCAGCCGUGGCCAUGGUACCCGCCAUCUUUGGGGGCGUGGGGAUUGCCAACUGGUACUUUAGAACCCCUGCUUGUCCCAUCCGUGGCUCCGCAGCAUUUUCAAGCCCCUCCUCGCCGGGGUGGCACGCACUCCUUUACCCACCUCUGAGGCCUUUGUGCAGCACAUGGAGAAAAGCGUCCUCCAGGUGCUGCUGAAACUGAGGCGGUGACAGACUUUGAGGAAGCCGAUGCCCAUCAAAGAGCAUCGCCUUCCUCUGUCUGGCCAUUGUGUGGCUGUUUUGAAGGUUUCUGAGAACCCAGGAUCUUUCUUUGUUCUUACUUUUCUAUGAGAUGUGAAGAAACAGGAAGGGAAACCUGCUUCCGAGAGACACUUAAUCCGAAAGAAUGGGGGUGGGGGGGAGAGGGGGACUUUUUUCCAAGGUAGGGUCAAUGCUGGAAACCAUAACGUGGGAGUGGAAAAUGGAACAAAAGGUGAAUGAUGCUUUUUAAAUGAGCCCAUUGGUUUCAUGAAACCUCAAUUCUUUAAGAUAACAUGAAAGCAUGAAUUUUUAAGCGUAUAUUUUAAGAGAAUAAUGGAUGUAUAUACAUGGACACACCUACACAUUUUACUGCCAAGUUACAAAAUUCAGGCUGUAGAACAUCUAAACUUUCCUACAUGGCUUGGCAAAAACCAAAGCUCACAUAUAGGUACCGCAUCGGAUCCAACUCUAUUUCAGGAGGUGAAACAGAUGGGUGCUGGAAGCCAUUCAGCUGUAAUCUAAUUAGCACCAUGUUCAGAUUGCAGCAAAGCAUGCAAAUAGCUCAUUUGCCUUUGAAAAUGACACAAUUUGAGAUAUUUUUCAAGUUGUCCUGACGUGCUGAACUCACUCAUUGAUUGUCCUCCUUGAUUUGAAUUCACCUUGUGCUAAAACACCUCCCGGAUUUCCCCAAAUUCUCUAUUUUAGUGCUUUGUUCAUACUGUUAUAUUUUAAUAUUUGCCAGGUUCUGUUAGGCUACCACGCUUUGAUUGGCUCACAGAAUUUUAUGUGAAUUUCAGUUUGUUGGUUUUCGGCUUCCUGUGCCUAAGCUCCAGAAUGUUCUUCACUAAAGUCCUGUCAGUUACAAUGUGUUGGAUAUUGUGAUGCACAUGGGAGUCCUGCUUACAAUGAAAAAGCCUCUAAGAAGCUUUCCAGGAACAGGUGACUAUUAUGAGCCAAAGGUAGGAAGCUACUCUCAGCGGUCCUAAUAAGUCAUUUCAACUUGCGGAACUGACGUGGCUGUUAAAGAAGUGAAGUGUCAGUAGCACAGUGGGCUCUCCGACGGACAGUCGAGCGCAUUAGGAAGGAACACAGAUUCCAGAGCAGACAUGUCUGGGCAGAAUUCCAGCUCCAGAAGCACAAAGAGUCGGGCAGCAGCAAGAGUCAUGAGGAACCUGCAUCUUGGAAUCACGCACAGUGUAUUCUGGAGUCCCCUGUGUUGUGAAUUUGGGCUCAACCAAAAGCUUAAAGGGCUCAGCCAAAAAGCUUAAAGGUGACUUUAACAUUGGACUUGGCAGGCUAAGGAAGAAGACUGCUCUACCCAGUGGUAGGUGGGGGGGCUCAUCCCAUCAGUCAAAGGCCUGAAUAGAACAAAAAGGAUUCUCGGUUCUAUGAAAGACAUGAAAAGGGUAGAGACUUUGAGGAAACGCCAAUCAAGCUGAAACCUGAAAGACGAGACUCUUUUAGUCAUACAGAAAGGAAGCAGAGAAUUCUGGAGGAGAGCCGGCCUGAAGACCCAGAGCGGGGAUGUUGACCUGCUGGGGGAAUUGUGAAGAAGAGCUUUGCCGAACCCGUGAGCAGUCCAUGGGACGAGCAGGAGGUGACGUCACACGAUAGCAACAACAAAAUAUUCCCAAGCUUACUGAGAAAAGAACUGAUUAGCCUGGGCAGGAUGGAAGUGGGAAGACCAGCGUCCUUGCUGGCGGUGUGGUGGUCAGCAGGGGAUACUGUGUCCUGCGUGGGAGACAGACAGACAGACAGAGGAGAAGCAGCAAUAGGAAGUGCGUCCUCUCUGAUGCCGGCCGCUGCUCAUUCGGGUCUCGCCGUGGAACCCCAGCGUCAUUUCACCUCCCUAAGGAUUCUCUCUCCUGUGCUGCCCAGAAUGGGUCAGGAUCUGCCUCGGCCUCCUUGCUGUCAUGCUCACGACACCUCACAGGGUGAUUCCUUAGAACCGCUAAGGGCAGGGGAUUUUUCUGUUUUUCUUCUGUCAGAAUUCUAUGUCUGGGAUCUAGCCGAGUGCCUGGCACUUCAUUCUGAUUCAAUACGUAUUUGUUGAAUGAGCAAAGAAAAUGAGUACUCUACACUCUGGUGGAAAGAGGAAAAAGUCCCCAUUUCCAGAGAGACUUUAGGGAAUGAAAAUGUAGAGAGUAAGAAACUCUGUGAAUAUGUUGUUCAAAUUUGGCUGAGACAGAAAUUCUGGAAACACUGGGGAGGUAAAAUCAUCUGACGCUUAUCCCAGAAGCCCUCCCCCAACCCUCCAAACUCCCACCUGUAGUCAGCAGGACAAAGCAUCAGUGUUUUAACGAGUGACACAUUUUUCGACUCUGCACCACUUUGGGGAUGUUAACAUCUGCGAGGCUGGCAGGUGGUAUCUUCUCGAAAGCAUUAGAGUCCUCGUGUCCUUCUCUGUGCAGGUCCCCAUGCGUCUGUACCGACCGGCACAGUGCAGGUGUUUUUACUCCAGAUACCCCCAGGCCAGGAAAGGCGCCGGGAGGUUCACUGUUUAGGAGUUUGGAGAGAAUGUUGGAGAAGAAACACUGACAGCACAGCAGUGAAAAUGCUACCGCUCAGGGCCUGAAGCUCAGGAACGACAUUUGUUCUCUGUACAGGCUGCGCGUCCUCGAUUUAGUCCCUGUUAGGUCGGGAACUAGUCUCUGUGCCACUGAGGAACAGGGGUCUUACGGGAUGGGAAUCCAAUUCACUACCAAUGUCUUAUCUGAAAAUUAGAGAAAACGCUCCGAUCUACUACUGUGAGGAUUUAUGGGGCUUCUGUGUGCACUGUCUGCACACAAUGGACGGGUUAGUUUCAGUAACUUGUGUGAUUUAUUUGUCCGUGGAGCCAACCAGUAGUUUAAACUAGGCAAAAUGGCUUGUCAUAUUUGGUGUUAUAUAAACACUCUUUGUGGAUUCA